rnacentral:rRNA from 1 species
CCCUUAGAUGUUCUGGGCCGCACACGCGCUACACUGAAGGAGGCAGCGUGUACUCCUGGAUCGAAAGAUUUGGGUAACCCGCGAAUCUCCUUCGUGCUAGGGAUGGAGGUUUGCAAUUAUCCUUCAUGAACGAGGAAUUCCCAGUAAGUGCAAGUCAUAAGCUUGCGCUGACUACGUCCCUGCCCUUUGUACACACCGCCCGUCGCUACUACCGAUUGAAUGAUUUAGUGAGGACUUCGGACUGGGACCGAUGCGGCUUUCGGGCUGCGUCGGUAUUCUGGAAAGAUGUCCAAACUGUAUCAUUUAGAGGAAGUAAAAGUCGUAACA